UUCAGCAACAAGGCAAUCCAAAGUGCUUUUAAAGCUGAAACCCAUGAUAUAAUACACUGUAAUAACAUGCUUAUUUCACUGCAACAGCAGAAAGAUCUAAAGGAACAAAAUCCAUCUCUAUUACAAGCUAAAAACAAAAUGUUCUUCAU